GAAAAAUUCUAUAACUGAAGCAAUCUGAGGGGCAUUUUAGAGAUCUUAUGGGCUGCAAUGGGAAUUAACUGCUAUUGCUGUGACUUAUGCCACAGGUGUAUUUAACACAGUCAAGUUAAAUCCUUGUUCCGUGAAGUCCAUCUGUUAAUCUGGCUUCGAUCCUCCCGUCACCUGCUGUUGCUGAAUGCGGGAUGAACUGAUCCUUAUGUGCACUUGGCAGAUAAGGCCUGGUUUUAAAUCUCGCUACAGAGUUUACUUUGUUACAGAAGGAUGAGUUAGUUGUGCGGAGGCACUUGUUAACAUCUGAACAGUGAGAAGACACCUGACUGGCAGCCUUACCUGUUGGGGCCCCGCGUGUCAUGGUGAGCUGCAGAUCCUACAAGAGCUUCCCAUUUCAUCCGCUCCAUCUGACCAGGACAGGUAGCGGUGAGAAGAAGCCAUACACAGGCCUCUUUUCUGAGGGUGUAAAGCUGAUUCACUACAGCAAGCCUCGUAUACUUGGCAGGGUAAACAACAACACAGGCUGAAAAACGUGGGGAAAAAAGUGGAGCUGAAAGAAUGAGCAUGAAAAAGAGGAAAGAGGGAACAGCUAAUCUCUAGUCAUUCAUUUGAUUUCUUUCUGAUAGUUAUUCAAUAAACAUGUGGCAAAGAAUGGAUGUGAAUCCAGUUCUUAAGGCUGCAAGACUGUGAUAACAAAAUAAUUAAGGCAUUCUACUUCAUGUUUACAGCUGACUUCCAUAGGUUGUCAGCUGGGUGUUCGGACACUUCCGCUACCUUUUUCAGAGAUUGUCCUUGAAAAGAUCCAUGCAGAAAUAGUAUUUACAAGAUACGUUUCAGAACUAUUCACCCCAAGUCUUGGAAAUAAAAUGAAAACCAGCUGUUACCAAAUUAUUUCUAGAGCUUUAAUUUCCCAAACAAAAACUUGUUACAAUUAUCAUCUUUCUCAUCCUUUACUUCAUAAGGUUAAUUAUAUGGAGGAUUAGAAUUACAAUUAUUUCAUUUAAUAUUUGUCAAAGAAGGAGAAAU
rnacentral:lncRNA from 1 species